rnacentral:misc_RNA from 1 species
AAUUCUCAACCUUACCCAGCUUUGAGCUUGGGUAAUGGCUUGGAUGUGGGGGUCUUUUGCUGGCUUCGUCAAGAGGUCGGCUCCCCUUAAAUGCAUUAGCCGGUGCCCCGCGUGGAUCGUCUAUUGGUGUGAUAAUUAUCUACGCCGUGGAUGUCUGCUUUUAAUGGGUUUGCGCUGCUUCUAACCGUCUAUUAAGUUAGACAAUCAAUGACA